ACCGCCUGGGGAGUACGGUCGCAAGAUUAAAACUCAAAGGAAUUGACGGGGACCCGCACAAGCGGUGGAUUAUGUGGAUUAAUUCGAUGCAACGCGAAAAACCUUACCUACCCUUGACAUGUCAGGAAGUCCGCAGAGAUGUGGAUGUGCCCGAAAGGGAACCUGAACACAGGUGCUGCAUGGCUGUCGUCAGCUCGUGUCGUGAGAUGUUGGGUUAAGUCCCGCAACGAGCGCAACCCUUGUCAUUAGUUGCUACAUUUAGUUGGGCACUCUAAUGAGACUGCCGGUGACAAACCGGAGGAAGGUGGGGAUGACGUCAAGUCCUCAUGGCCCUUAUGGGUAGGGCCUCACACGUAAUACAAUGGCCGGUACAGAGGGCUGCCAACCCGCGAGGGGGAGCUAAUCUCAGAAAGCCGGUCGUAGUCCGGAUUGUUCUCUGCAACUCGAGAACAUGAAGUUGGAAUCGCUAGUAAUCGCGGAUCAGCAUGUCGCGGUGAAUACGUUCCCGGGUCUUGUACACACCGCCCGUCACACCAUGGGAGUGGGUUCCACCAGAAGUAGGUAGCCUAACCGCAAGGAGGGCGCUUACCACGGUGAGAUUCAUGACUGGGGUGAAG
rnacentral:rRNA from 1 species